rfam:Schistosoma haematobium scaffold152_41, whole genome shotgun sequence.
AUUCAGCUGACGAGUCCCAAAUAGGACGAAGUGGUGCAUAUCCUGGAU